rnacentral:sRNA from 1 species
AAUAACUGGAGUUGUUCUAUAGUUU